rnacentral:rRNA from 1 species
UAGGGAAUAUUGCAAAAUGGGCGAAAGCCCGAUGCAGCGACGCCGCGUGGGCGAUGAAGGCCUUCGGGUCGUAAAGCCCUUUUUGAGGGGAUGAGGAAGGACAGUACCCUCAGAAUAAGCCUCGGCUAACUACGUGCCAGCAGCCGCGGUAAAACGUAGGAGGCGAGCGUUAUCCGGAUUUACUGGGCGUAAAGCGCGUGCAGGCGGAUUGGAGAGUUGGAUGUGAAAGCUCCCGGCUUAACUGGGAGAGGUCGUUCAAUACUUCCAGUCUUGAGUGCAGUAGAGGGAAGUGGAAUUCCGGGUGUAGUGGUGAAAUGCGUAGAUAUCCGGAGGAACACCAGUGGCGAAAGCGGCUUCCUGGACUGUAACUGACGCUCAGACGCGAAAGCUAGGGUAGCAAACG